rnacentral:lncRNA from 1 species
CAGAGAUGCAGAUGGCCCUGGUGCAGUGAGCCAGACGCAGAAAGGCUCUACAUGGUCUCUAACAAGUCAGAUUCCCUAACAGCGGAGUGGCGGCAACCCGAGGCUGGGGGCGGGGGAGUGAAGGUCAAGGGUGCAGCUAAGACGGGGAAGUCCCGGGAUCUAGAGGGCAGCAGCAGCAAGGCUGUCUCAAUGCCAGGGCACCCUAUGCUGGGAACUCACCAGGGGGCAGUCCCAACCUUCUCACCACGCCAAGAGGCAUGCAAAGCAGCAGAUAUGCUAAUCAGCUUGGCUCAGUUCAUCUGCGUGCUUACAUGUGAAAGCAUCGUGAUGCACACUUGCAAACACAGUUCAUUUUACUUGCCAACUUCGAGAAUCAAUUCAGUAAAAAAAAGAGUCCCCAGCCAGGCACAGUGGCACACACCCAUGAUCUCAGUGGCUCAGGAGGUUGAGGCAGGAGGAUCGCGAGUUCAAAGCCAGCCUCAGCAAAAGUGAGACUCUGUCUCUAAAUAAAAUACGAAAUAGGGCUGGAGGUGUGGCUCAGUGGGUGAGUGCCCCUGAGUUCAAAUCCUGGUGCCAAAAAAAAAAAAAAAAGAGUCCCCAGAAGAUGGAGAGGAGGGGGAGGUCAUGGUCUCCCCAGAUUCAAGCUUGAGAGACGCGGAGAGGGGCCCUGGACACUCACCAGCACAGGGCCUCCUGGCUGCCAGCCCACACCACCUCAAGCAGGGAGGACAAGCAGUCCUGAGCCAGGAACAGACUUCUCCUGGAGGUUCCUGGGGUCCAGCCAGGGUGAGGGAGGCUCCCAGGGCAGGCCCUUGGCUCAGCUCGGGGAGGGAGGGCAGCCCUGGGCCUGGGGCCUCGAUGGUGGCUGGGACCACCAGAAACCAGAGCCAGGGCCUGGCACGAAGGAACCCCCUCAGGAGGGAGCCUGACAGGGAGCAGCCAGCCCAGCCCAGCAGGGCGUGUGGCCAGGAGCUGUCCCCGCCCCCAAGCCCCCUGCCCACUCUGGAGAUGCCAGGACUUCCCUGUGUCCCCUCCUCCUGGGGAGGGGGUGGAGUGGGGUUCCA